rnacentral:rRNA from 1 species
AUCUCGAAAGGGAUGCUAAUACCGCAUACGUCCUACGGGAGAAACAGGGGAUCUUCGGACCUUGCGCUAAUAGAUGAGCCUAAGUCGGAUUAGCUAGUUGGUGGGGUAAAGGCCUACCAAGGCGACGAUCUGUAGCGGGUCUGAGAGGAUGAUCCGCCACACUGGGACUGAGACACGGCCCAGACUCCUACGGGAGGCAGCAGUGGGGAAUAUUGGACAAUGGGGGGAACCCUGAUCCAGCCAUGCCGCGUGUGUGAAGAAGGCCUUAUGGUUGUAAAGCACUUUAAGCGAGGAGGAGGCUACUCUAGUUAAUACCUAGAGAUAGUGGACGUUACUCGCAGAAUAAGCACCGGCUAACUCUGUGCCAGCAGCCGCGGUAAUACAGAGGGUGCGAGCGUUAAUCGGAUUUACUGGGCGUAAAGCGUGCGUAGGCGGCUUAUUAAGUCGGAUGUGAAAUCCCCGAGCUUAACUUGGGAAUUGCAUUCGAUACUGGUGAGCUAGAGUAUGGGAGAGGAUGGUAGAAUUCCAGGUGUAGCGGUGAAAUGCGUAGAGAUCUGGAGGAAUACCGAUGGCGAAGGCAGCCAUCUGGCCUAAUACUGACGCUGAGGUACGAAAGCAUGGGGAGCAAACAGGAUUAGAUACCCUGGUAGUCCAUGCCGUAAACGAUGUCUACUAGCCGUUGGGGCCUUUGAGGCUUUAGUGGCGCAGCUAACGCGAUAAGUAGACCGCCUGGGGAGUACGGUCGCAAGACUAAAACUCAAAUGAAUUGACGGGGGCCCGCACAAGCGGUGGAGCAUGUGGUUUAAUUCGAUGCAACGCGAAGAACCUUACCUGGCCUUGACAUACUAGAAACUUUCCAGAGAUGGAUUGGUGCCUUCGGGAAUCUAGAUACAGGUGCUGCAUGGCUGUCGUCAGCUCGUGUCGUGAGAUGUUGGGUUAAGUCCCGCAACGAGCGCAACCCUUUUCCUUACUUGCCAGCAUUUCGGAUGGGAACUUUAAGGAUACUGCCAGUGACAAACUGGAGGAAGGCGGGGACGACGUCAAGUCAUCAUGGCCCUUACGGCCAGGGCUACACACGUGCUACAAUGGUCGGUACAAAGGGUUGCUACACAGCGAUGUGAUGCUAAUCUCAAAAAGCCGAUCGUAGUCCGGAUUGGAGUCUGCAACUCGACUCCAUGAAGUCGGAAUCGCUGGUAAUCGCGGAUCAGAAUGCCGCGGUGAAUACGUUCCCGGGCCUUGUACACACCGCCCGUCACACCAUGGGAGUUU